rnacentral:rRNA from 1 species
UGGGGAAUAUUGGACAAUGGGCGCAAGCCUGAUCCAGCCAUGCCGCGUGAGUGAUGAAGGCCCUAGGGUUGUAAAGCUCUUUCACCGGUGAAGAUAAUGACGGUAACCGGAGAAGAAGCCCCGGCUAACUUCGUGCCAGCAGCCGCGGUAAUACGAAGGGGGCUAGCGUUGUUCGGAUUUACUGGGCGUAAAGCGCACGUAGGCGGACUAUUAAGUCAGGGGUGAAAUCCCGGGGCUCAACCCCGGAACUGCCUUUGAUACUGGUAGUCUUGAGUUCGAGAGAGGUGAGGGGAAUUCCGAGUGUAGAGGUGAAAUUCGUAGAUAUUCGGAGGAACAACAGUGGCGAAGGCGGCUCACUGGCUCGAUACUGACGCUGAGGUGCGAAAGCGUGGGGAGCAAACAGG